rnacentral:rRNA from 1 species
GAAGCCCUGUAAAGGGUGGAGCUGACCGGUACUAAUAGGCCGAGGGCUUGUCCUCAGUUG